CUCUGCAAAGCCUUUGUGUAUCCCCAGCUUUGAGAACUGAAUUCCAUGGGUUUUCUCAAUGUCAGACCUGUGAAAUUCAGUUCUUCAGCUGGGAUAUCUCUGUCAUCGUGGAGACACU
rnacentral:pre_miRNA from 15 species